GAAAGCUAAACCGUAGUGUCUCUUUGUUUACACAUACAGGAUUUAUAAACACCUGCCGGGCCAGGGGGGCUACACUAGCGCUGAGCUACAACUCCUGGACACGUCAGAGCAGGGAGGGACGUCUACGUGGAUCAUGUGACCGACUGAAGCAGAUCAGCUCGACUCAUCACAUUCUGAUGGAUUUCAGGAUGGAGAAUGCGGAUUCUUCCACCCAGAGGUCAGCGCUAAGAGUCUGUAAUCAGAUUUGUUGUUAUGAACAUUCUUCGUCUCUACAAAGGCUUCUUUCAGUCCACCUCCAGUCUACUGUCACAAAUCACCAGUCUUGAGUUUUGCGACUCACACUCCAGUUUUCAGACGAACAUGCCGCCCCGCACAGAAGCCAUCCAUCAAACCGAGUCGGACGAGGCCUCGGGCAGCCGAAGAGGAAUCUGUUUUCCUGUCAAAUACCAAAGAAAAAAACGGGCUCGUUUAGGUUUAAAACGGCGAAAUGAAAAAUGGGCCAGUUUUCUCGUUUCUUAUAGUUUAAACCAGAAAAAUAAAAAUGUGAGCUGCCUUGUACAUUUUAUGUCUGAUUUUUUUUUUUUUUUUAACAGUAAUGGACCAGAAAAACGUGUAUUUUUUUCCUCUUUGUGGUGGUUUUCACUCUCCUUGAGGUGACUUUGCAUUUCUAUAGGGUUGUUGUGUCUCUUUGUGGUAACAUUCCUUUUG